UGCAGUCGAACGCGAAAGUCCCCUUCGGGGGACAAGUAGAGUGGCGCACGGGUGAGUAACACGUAGGUAAUCUACCUUUGGAUUGGGAAUAACCACCGGAAACGGUGGCUAAUACCGAAUAAUGCAGCGGCACCUAAUGGUGACAGUUGUUAAAGCGGGGGAUCGCAAGACCUCGCGUCUGAAGAGGAGCCUGCGGCAGAUUAGCUAGUUGGUAAGGUAACGGCUUACCAAGGCGAUGAUCUGUAGCCGGCCUGAGAGGGCGGUCGGCCACACUGACACUGACAUACGGGUCAGACUCCUACGGGAGGCAGCAGUCGGGAAUUUUGGGCAAUGGGCGAAAGCCUGACCCAGCAACGCCGCGUGAAGGAUGAAAUCCCUCGGGAUGUAAACUUCGCAAGAACGGGAAGAAUAAGUAAGGGUUAAUAUCUCUUACGAUGACGGUACUGUUUGUAAGCUCCGGCUAACUCCGUGCCAGCAGCCGCGGUAAUACGGGGGGAGCAAGCGUUGUUCGGAUUUACUGGGCGUAAAGGGCGCGUAGGCGGCCACCGCGAGUCGACUGUGAAAUCUCUGGGCUUAACCCAGAAAGGUCAGCCGAUACUGCGGGGCUAGAGUGCAAAAGGGGCAACUGGAAUUCUCGGUGUAGCGGUGAAAUGCGUAGAUUUCGAGAGGAACACCUGCGGCGAAAGCGGGUUGCUGGGCUGACACUGACGCUUAAGCGCGAAAGCUAGGGGAGCGAACGGGAUUAGAUACCCCGGUAGUCCUAGCCUUAAACGAUGAA
rnacentral:rRNA from 1 species